rnacentral:sRNA from 2 species
GGCCCCGGAGAAGAAAGGACAAGAAAAGCAAAUAGUAGCUUAGAAAAUAACUAACUUACAUCUAGUGCUGUCGAUGGCGACGUUUCUGAGAACCCUUUGGAGACUCCAGCAAUUGCGUACAAUACAUACAUCCUCGUGGCAGCGAAAACCAGAUCCUCCGACAUCUUCCGCCUUGUCCCCCGAGGCCACACGAAUGCCAUAUCUCCAGUAAACAAUGGGUAUUUCAUACAUAUAUAUAUAUAUAUAUGCCAUGCAAUCCAAGAGAAGAAAACCCCUUCUGACAUUGAGCCGGAAUACCUAUGACCUCGCUUUGACGUCUCCGUUAUCGGAAAUAUUCGCGCGAGCAUUAAAGCCAGAAGUGAACUUGAAGUGGACCUGAAGUGGACCGCAGAUAUUCCGCUUAGCCAAUGCGUGACACUGGUGAAAGGCCACACGGCCUAUCGUCUUAGAGAUCUAUGUUGAAAACUCGACUAUCUUGUGAGCUCGAAAAAAGCGCCCAAAAAAAGCGCCAUACGAAGCCAUGCGUAGAUCGCCCGGGUAUACAUUUCGACCCGCGAGGGCCGAGUUGGUGAGUGGUGGUGCAGCGUAUGUCACCUGUCUACCACCCCCGAGGGUACAUAUUUGGCAUUGCACGAAAUAUGUUUUAAUAUGUUUUAUCUUGGAGAUUCCAAGAUCAGAAACAGCUUGAUGAGGAGAACGCAAUGCUUCAAAUCUCCUACGGAUUGGCAUUUUGAUUUUUUUUUCGUCUACUAACUUCCCAUCUCGUUCGUUUGGUUCGAGGCUAUCAAUCGUGUAAUACUGUAACAUUCGCAGUAGGAUUGUAUCUUAUCUUGAAUAAUUGCUAGCUAAAGCUCCGAUCCCUUCUUAACCAACAGAGGAUUUACCAGGCUUCUUAUACCCAAGGAUCAGCUGCUAAUAUCCUAUCGUUAUUACGUGCAAAAUGGAAGAUAUUUAGAUAAUCAUCAUCGCAAUCAUCAAUUGUGCGGUAAAAUCUCGCUCAUUAGAUGAGUGGCAUUCUUGGUGGUAGAUUUGGUGGAUAAUUUUGUCGCAGCCAGCUCUCCAUCUGACACAGGGUAUGAUAGAGCUAGUUUGAAAUCAAGUACGACAACAAGCCAAAAAAGAAGAGUAUUCACCAUCGAGAUUCCUUUGCCUCUCUGGCUGCCUUCAAAUUUGUAUUGAAAUCUCUCCACAGCCGAUUGAUUUCAGCAACUUCGUCCAUAUCAUCUACCACCUGGUUGGCGUAUUUCGUACGUCGUUUCUGGCUCCAGCGCUCGCGUUCUAGGAUCUCCGCGUCGGAAAAUAUACCUUUGCGUUGGAGGUAAUCGACGAUCCAUUCGUUGAGGUGGUAGCGCCAAUGGAUGAGUGUGUGCGCCAUAAUGGCUUUGGUUUUACAGUGUCUUCCCAAGUAAAAAUGAGUGCUUGCAUCUGGGAUCUCAUUGCCUCCACGAUCGAUAUUUCCAGGUUUG